rnacentral:rRNA from 1 species
UGGGGGAACCCAACAUCUUUAAUAGGAUGUUACGAUUGUGUGAAUACAUAGCACAUUCGAGGUAGACGCAGAGAACUGAAACAUCUAAGUACCUGCAGGAAGAGAAAGAAAAUUCGAUUCCCUGAGUAGCGGCGAGCGAAACGGGAAAAGCCCAAACCAGCAAGCUUGCUUGUUGGGGUUGUAGGACUCCAAUAUGGUAGUUCUUUCAGAUAGUCGAAUGACUUGGAAAAGUCAGUCAAAGAGGGUAAAAACCCCGUAGACGAAAUGUGGAAGACACCUAGGAGGAUCCUGAGUACGGCGGAACACGAGAAAUUCCGUCGGAAUCCGGGAGGACCAUCUCCCAAGGCUAAAUACUCCCUAGUGACCGAUAGUGAACCAGUACCGUGAGGGAAAGGUGAAAAGCACCCCGGAAGGGGAGUGAAAUAGAACCUGAAACCGUGUGCCUACAACAAGUCAAAGCCCGUUAAUGGGUGAUGGCGUGCCUUUUGUAGAAUGAACCGGCGAGUUACGAUUGCAUGCGAGGUUAAGUUGAAGAGACGGAGCCGCAGCGAAAGCGAGUCUGAAUAGGGCGUUUGAGUAUGUAGUCGUAGACCCGAAACCAUGUGAUCUACCCAUGUCCAGGUUGAAGGUGCGGUAAAACGCACUGGAGGACCGAACCCACGUACGUUGAAAAGUGCGGGGAUGAGGUGUGGGUAGCGGAGAAAUUCCAAACGAACUUGGAGAUAGCUGGUUCUCUCCGAAAUAGCUUUAGGGCUAGCCUCGGAAUUGAGAAUGAUGGAGGUAGAGCACUGUUUGGACUAGGGGCCCAUCUCGGGUUACCGAAUUCAGAUAAACUCCGAAUGCCAUUCAUUCAUAUCCGGGAGUCAGACUGUGAGUGAUAAGAUCCAUAGUCGAAAGGGAAACAGCCCAGACCACCAGCUAAGGUCCCAAAAUAUAUGUUAAGUGGAAAAGGAUGUGGGGUUGCACAGACAACUAGGAUGUUGGCUUAGAAGCAGCCACCAUUUAAAGAGUGCGUAAUAGCUCACUAGUCGAGUGACCCUGCGCCGAAAAUGUACCGGGGCUAAACAUAUUACCGAAGCUGUGGAGUACACCUUUAGGUGUAUUGGUAGGAGAGCGUUCUAAGGGCGUUGAAGGCAGAUCGUGAGGACUGCUGGAGCGCUUAGAAGUGAGAAUGCCGGUAUGAGUAGCGAAAGACAGGUGAGAAUCCUGUCCACCGAAUGACUAAGGUUUCCUGGGGAAGGCUCGUCCGCCCAGGGUUAGUCGGGACCUAAGCCGAGGCCGACAGGCGUAGGCGAUGGAUAACAGGUUGAUAUUCCUGUACCCGUUGUUUUUGUUUGAGCAAUGGAGGGACGCAGGAGGCUAAGGAAUGCAGACGAUCGGAAAUGUCUGUCCAAGCAGUAAGUCUGAAGAGGA